rnacentral:rRNA from 1 species
UAGGGAAUCUUCCACAAUGGACGCAAGUCUGAUGGAGCAACGCCGCGUGAGUGAAGAAGGUUUUCGGAUCGUAAAGCUCUGUUGUUGGUGAAGAAGGAUAGAGGCAGUAACUGGUCUUUAUUUGACGGUAAUCAACCAGAAAGUCACGGCUAACUACGUGCCAGCAGCCGCGGUAAUACGUAGGUGGCAAGCGUUGUCCGGAUUCAUUGGGCGUAAAGCGAGCGCAGGCGGAAUGAUAAGUCUGAUGUGAAAGCCCACGGCUCAACCGUGGAACUGCAUCGGAAACUGUCAUUCUUGAGUGCAGAAGAGGAGAGUGGAAUUCCAUGUGUAGCGGUGGAAUGCGUAGAUAUAUGGAAGAACACCAGUGGCGAAGGCGGCUCUCUGGUCUGCAACUGACGCUGAGGCUCGAAAGCAUGGGUAGCGAACAGG